GCCUUGCUAGCUCAAUCGGUAGAGCGUGAGACUCUUAAUAAGUAAAUCUCAAGGUUGCGGGUUCGACCCCCGCGUGGGGCU
rfam:Sphaerobolus stellatus SS14 unplaced genomic scaffold SPHSTscaffold_299, whole genome shotgun sequence.